rnacentral:rRNA from 1 species
CCUACGGGAGGCAGCAGUGAGGAAUAUUGGUCAAUGGGCGUAAGCCUGAACCAGCCAAGUCGCGUGAGGGAUGAAGGUGCUAUGGAGCGUAAACCUCUGUUAUAAGGGAAUAAAGUGCGGGACGUGUACCGUUUUGUAUGUACCUUAUGAAUAAGGAUCGGCUAACUCCGUGCCAGCAGCCGCGGUAAUACGGAGGAUCCGAGCGUUAGCCGGAUUUCUUGGGGUUAAAGGGUGAGUAGGCGGCCUUUGAAGUCAGCGGGGCAAGUCUGUGGCUCACCCAUAGAAUUGCCGUUGAAACUGGGAGUCUUGCGUAUGUUUGAGGCAGGCCGAAUGCGUGGUGUAGCUGU